GUACGGUUUGUACAGGAUAGGUAGGAGCCAUUGAACUCUGGACGCCAGUCUAGAGGGAGGCAUUGGUGGGAUACUACCCUCACCGUACGGCCACUCUAACUCGCGCCCCUUAACGGGGUGGAAGACAGUGUCAGGUGGACAGUUUGACUGGGGCGGUCGCCUCCUAAACAGUAACGGAGGCGCCCAAAGGUUCCCUCAGAAUGGUUGGAAAUCAUUCGCAGAGUGUAAAGGCAGAAGGGAGCUUGACUGCGAGACUUACAAGUCGAGCAGGGACGAAAGUCGGGCUUAGUGAUCCGGUGGUUCCGCAUGGAAGGGCCAUCGCUCAACGGAUAAAAGCUACCCUGGGGAUAACAGGCU
rnacentral:rRNA from 1 species